AAAGGAGAAGGAGAAUUUCACUUGUGAGAAGGAGAGGGUUAGCUUUGCUUUGGUGUUUAAGGCAAGAGAAGCAGUUUCGUCACGUCUUGGUAGAAUAGAGAUCCGACGUAUCAAAUCUUAUCUAAAGGUAGCGAAAUUUGUUUGGUGAGACGCCUUUUCUCUGUUGCGAACUGGGAUCAGCGGAGUUUGUAAGUGCGAUCUUGGCUUCAUCGUUUCUCCGAUCGGCAUCAAAUUUUUUGGGAAGCUUGGUGACGUCUGAGUCUUGCUUUCCACCGAAGGGAUUAAGGAGUUAACGGGCGUUGUUUGGCUGUUGCAGUCGCGAGGAGAGUCUUUCC